GAUGAACGCUGGCGGCGUGCCUAAUACAUGCAAGUCGAGCGAACAGACGAGGAGCUUUCGCCUCUGACGUUAGCGGCGGACGGGUGAGUAACACGUGGAUAACCUACCUAUAAGACUGGGAUAACUUCGGGAAACCGGAGCUAAUACCGGCUAACAUGUCGAACCGCAUGGUUCAACAGUGAAAGACGGUCUUGCUGUCACUUAUAGAUGGAGCCGCGUCGCAUUAGCUAGUUGGUAAGGUAACGGCUUACCAAGGCAACGAUGCGUAGCCGACCUGAGAGGGUGAUCAGCCACACUGGAACUGAGACACGGUCCAGACUCCUACGGGAGGCAGCAGUAGGGAAUCUUCCGCAAUGGGCGAAAGCCUGACGGAGCAACGCCGCGUGAGUGAAGAAGGUCUUCGGAUCGUAAAACUCUGUUAUUAGGGAAGAAAAACUGUGGGAGUAAAUAUGCACGUCUUGACGGUACCUAAUCAGAAAGCCACGGCUAACUACGUG
rnacentral:rRNA from 1 species